rnacentral:rRNA from 1 species
GAGGAAAGUAGAAUUUCUAGUGUAGAGGUGAAAUUCGUAGAUAUUAGAAAGAAUACCAAUUGCGAAGGCAGCUUUCUGGAUCAUUACUGACACUGAGGUGCGAAAGCAUGGGUAGCGAAGAGGAUUAGAUACCCUCGUAGUCCAUGCCGUAAACGAUGUGUGCUAGACGUUGGAAAUUUAUUUUCAGUGUCGCAGCAAAAGCGUUAAGCACACCGCCUGGGGAGUACGACCGCAAGGUUAAAACUCAAAUGAAUUGACGGGGACCCGCACAAGCAGUGGAGCAUGUGGUUUAAUUCGAAGAUACGCGCAGAACCUUACCAACACUUGACAUGUUCGUCGCGACUUUAAGAGAUUAAAGUCUUCGGUUCGGCCGGACGAAACACAGGUGCUGCAUGGCUGUCGUCAGCUCGUGUCGUGAGAUGUUGGGUUAAGUCCCGCAACGAGCGCAACCCUUACUUUUAGUUGCCAUCAUUUAGUUGGGCACUCUGAAAGAACUGCCAGUGAUAAGCUGGAGGAAGGUGGGGAUGACGUCAAGUCCUCAUGGCCCUUACGUGUUGGGCUACACACGUGCUACAAUGGCACUCACAAUGGGAAGCAAAGAGGUGACUCUAAGCAAAUCCUAAAAAAGUGCCUCAGUUCGGAUUGUACUCUGCAACUCGAGUACAUGAAGCUGGAAUUGCUAGUAAUCGCGGAUCAGCGCGCCGCGGUGAAUACGUUCCCGGGUCUUGUACACACCGCCCGUCACACCAUGGAAGUUGGUUCUACCUUAAGGCAAAGCAUAAAACCUUUGACCACGGUAUAGUCAGCGACUGGGGUGAAGUCGUAACAAGGUAGCCGUAGGGGAACCUGCGGCUG